rnacentral:rRNA from 1 species
GCUUAUAAGACACCACCCUGAACAUACCCAGCCUCAUCCAAUCUUGGAAGCUAAGCAAGGUUGGGCCUGGUUUUGUACUUGGAUGGGAGACCUCCUGGGAAUACUGGGUGCUGUAGGCU